UACGUAGGGGGCAAGCGUUGUCCGGAUUUACUGGGCGUAAAGAGCGUGUAGGCGGCCAAACAGGUCCGUUGUGAAAACUGGGGGCUUAACCUCCAGACGUCGACGGAAACCGUGUGGCUAGAGUGCGGUAGGGGAGAUUGGAAUUCCUGGUGUAGCGGUGGAAUGCGCAGAUAUCAGGAGGAAUACCGAUGGCGAAGGCAGGUCUCUGGGCUGACACUGACGCUCAUGCACGAAAGCGUGGGGAGCAAACAGG
rnacentral:rRNA from 1 species